AAUUAUGUUUCAUUGUCACGGCACCAUUAAAAAGUUCUGCAAGACCCUUAAAAUUCACUUAUAGCUUCUUAAUGGUCGUGCAAUUGUUUUAACAAUAUAGAACAUAGUGAUCACAUAACGUAAAUAUUAGCACUGUGAAUUUUUAUUGUAAAGCGAUUUGAGUAUAAAAGUGGUUUGCCAUGCGGCGGCAUCGAGCGUAGCGUAGAAUUAGGGCAUCUUCUCUAUUCCCUCGGGCCAUCUAUAAGUAACGACCAGGGAGCAGAGCGGGAGCAACUCAUUCUUCGCCCGCCGCCGGCUCUUUCUGUACUGAGAAGUUGCAACUAGGGUGGACACUGUAUAUUGUGGACUUGUAACACUUUUCUUAGGAAUGAGGUAAGGGCGCUUUACAACCUUCUUGGGCAUUGUAUAGAUACACAUCCAUCUUAGGCAUUGGACGAGGUAAGUUUGGGAUCGUUGUAGUAGUUGUGAUACAUGGAGACCAGAUUGAAGAGCAGAUAGCCACUUGCUUUGCUUCUUCUCAAAGUGCUCCAAAAGUUAGUGCCUUGUUGUCACAGGAUUGGAUGGUUAAGUUCCAUUUUCCUUGCAAGCUCUAUCAAGGCAACAUGUUAUUUACUAUCCAUUAUAUCUAUUUGUUUUGCGUUGUGCUUUUAUUAUUAAGAGGCAUGGUGGCAAAGGAGAGAAGAUCCAAUGUGGAUUAACCUUAAGAGCUUCUAAAUAAUGAAAUAUUUGGAGAAAUUAAGCUCUAUUUGAAGUAGAUAGGGACAUAGGGCUUUAUUUCCUAUGGGUUAUCAUCAGGUAAUGGCUCUCUUCCUAGCUUAUGAAAGCUAUUAUUGAGAAGAAGAAGAAAUUACAGAGGUAUAGAGACAAGGAAUUGGACAGUAAAGGAGAAAAGAAAGGGGAAGAUAGACAAAAUAGAAGCGGGUUGGGGGGGGGGGGGGGGAAUCAAGCUUUUGCUUUUCUAUACAUGAAAAGGCUGUAAUAAUAAGUGGCUUCCAACCAUCUUGAUUGCAUCAAUUUUUUGCUGGGAUUAUUAUUUAAUGGAAAAGGUUGUGACUGCAAAGUCCAUAAUGAAGUCUUUCUAAGCAAAGUUUUGGAAAAUAAGUUCAAAAUUUCAGGGUUGUAAGCAUUUAUUAUGCGUUUUAAUACUGUUAGAUGGCAUCUCCAAGAGGUAAUUUCUACUUGGUUUGUCCUGGCUCUAAUGAAUCUGGUGCUUUAUUUGGUUAACAGAAUUAAUGGACAUUUAUCCACUUGGAUAAUUUUUCUUCAGGCACAAAGAUUUAGGCAUCAGUUAUUGCGAAUCCAAUGCAUCAAUUUGAAAAACCAUGGAGUCUAGAUUGAAGAGCAGAGAGCUACUCCUUGCACUUGCAUCACUCUUAACACUUAUUUGUCACGUCUUUUCUGUUACUCUCACGCAGCACUUAGACAAUCUAUACCUCACCUAAAAAAGCCCCCUUUUUCCCCCCACUUGAGCUUAAAAGAAAGAGUUAAGAGAGCUUAGAGAAGAGAGAAUAUGAAAAGGCUGCUUUUCAUGGCACUCGUGAACUCUUGGGUUGAAGUGUAUUAAUUGGAGCUCACCUAAUUUAUAUUUGUCUGCCCUCACGAUGGCUGGAUAGAUUUGAGCCGACAACUAUUAUUGAUGGGAGAUAAUGUCCUGGCCUGCUUAUUAACAUCUACGGAAAUCUUUGAAAUAUAAGUAUCACCUGUUUGUAAGUUUAAUUUUAAAUUAAUGCUUAGCACAAUCUCUGCAAUGUAGGUCUUUCUAUCUGGUCUGUUGUAUAUAAUUCAUAGAUGGAUUACACUUUAGUUAAAGGGACUAAGAGAUCUCCAUCCUGUGGAAACGACAAACAUGCAAAAAAUGCUGUGUUUGUGAGGCCUCUUCGCAAAAUAUGGAGCCUCGAGUGAAGGGCAGAGAGCUACUAGCUUGCGCUUCUCAUACUGCUCCAAACAUUCACAUGCCUAGUUGUUUUAAAGAUGGAUGAUUAAGUUUCAUUUUUAUUCUAAUUCUAACUAGGCAACAUGAUAAUGGGGUUG